ensembl:lncRNA
CAGUAUUCCAUCAAGACUGGUUGAGAUUGGUCAGAAUUCCUUCGGGUGUUAAUUGGAUUGGUCAGAAUUUUUUCAGGUAUUGCUGGGAUUGGUCAGUAUUCCAUCAGGACUGGGUGAGAUUGGUCAGAAUUCCUUCAGGUGUUAGAUGUGUUAGUUGGAUUUGUUGAAUUUGUUCAGGUAUUGGUGGGAUUGGUCAGAAUUCCAUCAGGACUGGGUGGGAUUGAUCAGAAUUGCAUCGUGAGUGGGUGGGGCUGGUUUAUUAGUGCAAUAGAGAACAUUUUAAAAAAACGCACUCCAAUUAACAUUAACAUUCGUACACAGGCU